CUCAUCCGCUGUGAAGAUGACACUGUACCGCUCGUCGUCGAGAGCCUGGGCUGCCCAAUCGUCAAGCUCCCCAUUACCUACCUCGGCAUCCCGCUCACCAUUCGAUGCCCCACCACCACGCAGCUGCUACCCCUCGUUGACAGAGUGGCGGGCAGACUGCCCACCUGGAAGGCUUGGCUCAUGAACCGAGCAGGCCGGCUUGCGCUGGUGAAAUCGGUGCUCAGCGCGAUCCCGCUGCACCAGCUGCUUGUGUUGGCGCCCCCAAAGAGGAUCCUCCGCAUGCUUGAGCGUAUCCAGCGUGGCUUCCUUUGGGCCGGGCGCGCCGAGGCCAAGGGAGGCCACUGCCACGUUAACUGGCGUCGUGUCUCGCGCCCCAGGAGCCUCGGCCGGCUGGGCGUGCACGAUCUGGAGCGCACCGGCAUGGCGCUUAGGACCCGUUGGCUCUGGUUCAGCAAAACCGAUGGGCGCCGUGCUUGGGCUGGUCUCGACCUCCAGUUCUCUGCUGAGGAGCAGGCCUUCUUCUUCGCUAGCACCCACACGUCCAUUGGGAACGGUGGAUCAAUGGACGCUCCGUUCGUGAGAUUGCACCCUUGCUGCACGCGUGCAUCCCCAAACGGCGAAGGAAGAAUAGGACGGUCGCUGAGGGCCUGCGGGCCCAUCUCUGGGCGCGCGACAUCCACGGCGUCUUGGGCGUUCACGAGAUCGGCCAGUACUUGUUGCUUUGGCGACUCCUCGAGGGUAUUGCCCUCUCCGCCGAGCCUGACAAGCUGA
rnacentral:rRNA from 1 species